rnacentral:sRNA from 1 species
UGAUGAACCACCUGCCGGAUAACAUCAAUGUUUAUGCAACGACUGCUGCCAACCCCAGAGAGUCAUCCUACGCCUGUUACUAUGAUGAGAAGAGGUCCACGUACCUGGGGGACUGGUACAGCGUCAACUGGAUGGAAGACUCGGACGUGGAAGACCUGACUAAAGAGACCCUGCACAAGCAGUACCACCUGGUAAAAUCGCACACCAACACCAGCCACGUCAUGCAGUAUGGAAACAAAACAAUCUCCACCAUGAAAGUGAUGCAGUUUCAGGGUAUGAAGCACAAAGCCAGUUCUCCUAUCUCCCUACCUCCAGUCACACACCUUGACCUCACCCCCAGCCCUGAUGUGCCCCUCACGAUCAUGAAAAGGAAACUGAUGAACACCAAUGAUCUGGAGGAGUCCAGGCAGCUCACGGAGGAGAUCCAGCGGCAUCUGGAUGCCAGGCACCUCAUUGAGAAGUCAGUGCGCAAGAUCGUCUCCUUGCUGGCAGCAUCCGAGGCUGAGGUGGAGCAGCUCCUGUCCAAGAGAGCCCCACUCACGGGGCACAGCUGCUACCCAGAGGCCCUGCUGCACUUCCGGACUCACUGCUUCAACUGGCAUUCCCCCACGGUGAGCCAGCGGGCUCUCCCCACGUCCAGAAUCCAGAAGCUGAAUUCAUAUUGUCCCCUGGCAGUCACAUUGGUUGUACGACCUUACAGAAGGUUCCAUCCAGGCUGAGAAACAGUGGGCUCAUUUCAGA